rfam:Camelus ferus unplaced genomic scaffold scaffold256, whole genome shotgun sequence.
UUGGGUAUACCUCAGUGGUAGAGCACAUGCUUAGCAUUCAUGAGGUCCUGGGUUCAAUCCCUGGUACCUCAA